rnacentral:tRNA from 2 species
AGGGUUAUAGUUAAUAAUAACAUUUGGGUUGCAUCCAAAAAAUAUUGAAACAAUCAAUUAACCUUG